rnacentral:rRNA from 1 species
UCGUGGAGUGAUCUGUCUGCUUAAUUGCGUUUCAGAUAUAUAAGGGUAAGCUAUAUGUGAGGUAGAGUGUUUACACUAUACUAAGCAGGCUGCCCUUUGAAAGCAACGAACGUGACCUCAACUCAAUGUUGCAUCCAUUAUAUGUGGUGCUAUACUUUGAGGACUGCCAGAGUUGUCAACUCGGAGGAAGGUUGAGGCAAUAACA